UCGGAUUUUGGGCGUAAGGGCUCGCAGGCGGUUUCUUAAGUCUGAUGUGAAAGCCCCCGGCUUAACCGGGGAGGGUCAUUGGAAACUGGGGAACUUUGAGUGCAGAAGAGGAGAGUGGAAUUCCACGUGUAGCGGUGAAAUUGCGUAGAGAUGUGGAGGAACACCAGUGGCGAAGGCGACUCUCUGGUCUGUAACUGACGCUGAGGAGCGAAAGCGUGGGGAGCGAACAGGAUUAGAUACCCUGGUAGUCCACGCCGUAAACGAUGAGUGCUAAGUGUUAGGGGGUUUCCGCCCCUUAGUGCUGCAGCUAACGCAUUAAGCACUCCGCCUGGGGAGUACGGUCGCAAGACUGAAACUCAAAGGAAUUGACGGGGGCCCGCACAAGCGGUGGAGCAUGUGGUUUAAUUCGAAGCAACGCGAAGAACCUUACCAGGUCUUGACAUCCUCUGACAAUCCUAGAGAUAGGACGUCCCCUUCGGGGGCAGAGUGACAGGUGGUGCAUGGUUGUCGUCAGCUCGUGUCGUGAGAUGUUGGGUUAAGUCCCGCAACGAGCGCAACCCUUGAUCUUAGUUGCCAGCAUUCAGUUGGGCACUCUAAGGUGACUGCCGGUGACAAACCGGAGGAAGGUGGGGAUGACGUCAAAUCAUCAUGCCCCUUAUGACCUGGGCUACACACGUGCUACAAUGGACAGAACAAAGGGCAGCGAAACCGCGAGGUUAAGCCAAUCCCACAAAUCUGUUCUCAGUUCGGAUCGCAGUCUGCAACUCGACUGCGUGAAGCUGGAAUCGCUAGUAAUCGCGGAU
rnacentral:rRNA from 1 species